rnacentral:rRNA from 1 species
CCCUUAGAUGUCCGGGGCUGCACGCGCGCUACACUGAAGGAAUCAGCGUGCUAAAACCAUUGUCGAAAGGCAUUGGUAAACCCAUUAAAAUCCUACGUGAUUGGGAUCGGGAAUUGCAAUUAUUUCCCUUGAACGAGGAAUUCCCAGUAAGUGUGGGUCAUAAGCUCGCGUUGAUUACGUCCCUGCCCUUUGUACACACCGCCCGUCGCUGCCCGGGACUGAGCCGUUUCGAGAAAAGCGGGGACUGCUGCUGUCGGGGCUUUCGGGCCUUGGCUUCGGUGGAAACCGCUUUAAUCGCAGUGGCUUGAACCGGGCAAAAGUCGUGACA